rnacentral:rRNA from 1 species
UACAGAGGUCUCAAGCGUUGUUCGGAUUCAUUGGGCGUAAAGGGUGUGUAGGUGGCGCGCUAAGUCGGGUGUGAAAUUUCGGAGCUUAACUCUGAAACUGCAUUCGAUACUGGCGUGCUUGAGGACUGGAGAGGAGACUGGAAUUCAUGGUGUAGCAGUGAAAUGACGUAGAGAUCAUGAGGAAGACCAGUGGCGAAGGCGGGUCUCUGGGACAGUUCCUGACACUGAGACACGAAGGCCAGGGGAGCAAACGGG